rnacentral:rRNA from 1 species
UACAGAGGUCCCAAGCGUUGUUCGGAUUCAUUGGGCGUAAAGGGUGCGUAGGCGGCGCGGUAAGUCGGGUGUGAAAUCUCGGAGCUUAACUCCGAAACUGCAUUCGAUACUGCCGUGCUUGAGGACUGGAGAGGAGACUGGAAUUUACGGUGUAGCGGUGAAAUGCGUAGAUAUCGAGAGGAACACCAGUGGCGAAGGCGAGUCCCUGGACAGGUCCUGACGCUGAGGCACGAAAGCGUGGGGAGCGAACAGG